AUUGAACGCUGGCGGCAGGCCUAACACAUGCAAGUCGAGCGGAUGAAGGGAGCUUGCUCCUGGAUUCCGCGUCGGACGGGUGUGUAAUGCCUAGGAAUCUCCCUGGUAGUGCUGUAUAACGUCCUGAAACGGCCGCUAAUACCGCCUACGUCCUGCUGGAGAUAGUUGGGGAUCUUCGGACCUCUCGCUCUCAGAUGAGCCUAGGUCGGAUUUGCUAGUUGGUUGGUUAAUGGCCUACCUAGCCGACGAUCCGUAACUGGUCUGAGAGAAUGAUCAGUCACACGAGAGCUGGGACACGGUCCAGACGACUAAGGGAGGCAGCAGACGGGAAUAUUAGACAGUAGGGGGAAGCCUGAUCCAGCCAUGCGGAGUGUGUGGAGAAGGUCUUCGGAUUGUAAAGAACGCUAAGUUGGGAGGAAGGGCAGUAAGUUAAGACCUAGCUGUUGUGACGGUAACAACAGAAGAAGCACCGGCUAACUACGUG
rnacentral:rRNA from 1 species